CUGAGUGUCAGGAAGACUCAUCCUUUCUGCCCACUUAGUUGGGCAAACCGAAGCGCUUUCCUUCCAAGAGACGGGGCGGCACCAUGGUACUGCGGUGAAGAAAAGGAGUCAGGUGCAUACGGCUGGAAGGAUGCUGACCGUGGUCCAGGUCUCCCUUCCCGUUCAUCAGGUUUAAGAUUUGCCGUGGAUUAAUAGAAACCAGAACAAGCCCCAGAUGGCGAGCACAGUUAACAAUGAAAAGUCAUAAAUGCAGAAGUCAAUGGGGACCACAUUCAAACGCACGACUCCCAGUACAAAGUGGAUCCGGCAACCAAGAAAGGAGAAACUGGACAGACAAGGACUCCCAUAGAGAAGAAAAAUUGAAGCUGAAUCCUUGUUUCCUGACCUCUUCUGCUAUAAGGAGUGAACAUCAUCUCUGCUUGGGGCCAAGAAGAUCUGAGAAGAAUAAUGCUGUGCACAACAACUAGGUUUCCUCCCCAAGCAACACGGCCAGGCAGGCAUGUGAAGGCAGAGCCACUACCCUAGGACACUGCCCUUGGCUUCCAGCCUUUGAGAACAGUAGCAAGAGUUUGUGGUGGGUGGAACUUUUGGCGACCAUGUUUUAACUGAUUUUUGUCAUUAAGACAAUAGGCUGAGCAGGAAGGGUGGACAGACAAGAAGCAGGAGGUGACAUUAUUUAAUCACCAAACAUAGAAUGGCCUUUGUCCAGGCCUCCUUUAAAUUAGAUGUAUAGCCUUGUGUGUUAAGGCAAUUGCUACUACCUGCUUCAAACUGCUCUUAC
ensembl:antisense Gm16193 predicted gene 16193